rnacentral:rRNA from 1 species
AGUGAACGCUGGCGGUAGGCCUAACACAUGCAAGUCGAACAGCAGCACAGGAGAGCUUGCUCUCUGGGUGGCGAGUGGCGGACGGGUGAGGAAUACAUCGGAAUCUGCCCAGUCGUGGGGGAUAACGUAGGGAAACUUACGCUAAUACCGCAUACGACCUUCGGGUGAAAGAGGGGGAUCGCAAGACCUCUCGCGAUUGGAUGAGCCGAUGUCGGAUUAGCUAGUUGGCGGGGUAAUGGCCCACCAAGGCGACGAUCCGUAGCUGGUCUGAGAGGAUGAUCAGCCACACUGGAACUGAGACACGGUCCAGACUCCUACGGGAGGCAGCAGUGGGGAAUAUUGGACAAUGGGCGCAAGCCUGAUCCAGCCAUACCGCGUGGGUGAAGAAGGCCUUCGGGUUGUAAAGCCCUUUUGUUGGGAAAGAAAUCUUUCAGGCUAAUACCCUGGGAGGAUGACGGUACCCAAAGAAUAAGCACCGGCUAACUUCGUG